rnacentral:rRNA from 1 species
UAAAGUUAAAGAAUAUGGCAGUAUUUUAAUUUUUUCAGAGGAACCUGUUAUAUAAUUGAUAGUCCACGAUUAGUUUUACUUAUUUUUUAAAUUUAUAUAUCAUUGUAGUUAAAUAUUUUUAAAAAAUAUAUUUAAUUUUUAUUUUUAUAAUAAAAAUCAAAUCAAGGUAUAGUUUAUAGGUAAGAAGAUAUGGGUUACAAUUAAAUUAUUAUUGGAAAAAAUUAUUAAAUAGUUUUAAAAAUUGGAUUUGAAAGUAAUUAUUUAAGUUUAUUAGUAAUGAUUUAACUCUAAAAUAUGUACAUAUUGCCCGUCGCUUUUGUUUUUAAAAUGAAAUAAGUCGUAACAAAGUAGGUUUACUGGAAAGUGAGUCUAGAAU